rnacentral:rRNA from 1 species
GAUGAACGCUGGCGGCGUGCCUAAUACAUGCAAGUCGAGCGAACGGACGAGAAGCUUGCUUCUCUGAUGUUAGCGGCGGACGGGUGAGUAACACGUGGAUAACCUACCUAUAAGACUGGGAUAACUUCGGGAAACCGUAGCUAAUACCGGAUAAUAUUUUGAACCGCACGGUUCAAAAGUGAAAGACGGUCUUGCUGUCACUUAUAGAUGGAUCCGCGCUGCAUUAGCUAGUUGGUAAGGUAACGGCUUACCAAGGCAACGAUGCAUAGCCGACCUGAGAGGGUGAUCGGCCACACUGGAACUGAGACACGGUCCAGACUCCUACGGGAGGCAGCAGUAGGGAAUCUUCCGCAAUGGGCGAAAGCCUGACGGAGCAACGCCGCGUGAGUGAUGAAGGUCUUCGGAUCGUAAAACUCUGUUAUUAGGGAAGAACAUAUGUGUAAGUAACUGUGCACAUCUUGACGGUGCCUAAUCAGAAAGCCACGGCUAACUACGUG